rnacentral:tRNA from 1 species
GCAUUGGUAGUUCAGUGGUAGAAUUUUUCCUUUCCAUGCGGAAGACCCAGGUUUGAUUCCUGGCCAGUGCA